AGAGUUUGAUUAUGGCUCAGGAUGAACGCUAGCUACAGGCCUAACACAUGCAAGUCGAGGGCAUCAGGUCGAAAGCUUGCUUUCGACGCUGGCGACCGGCGAAUGGGUGAGUCACGCGUGUCCAACCUGCCCUGUGCCCGGGGAUAGCCCUUGGAAAUGAGGAUUAAGACCCGAUACGUGCGCCCUCCGCAUGGCGAGCGCAUGAAACUGACACAGGAUGGGGACGCGUCGGAUUAGCUUGACGGCGGGGCGACGGCCCACCGUGGCGACGAUCCGCAGGGGUUCUGAGAGGAAGGUCCCCCACACUGGCACUGAGACACGGGCCAGACUCCUACGGGAGGCAGCAGUGAGGAAUAUUGGUCAAUGGCCGAGAGGCUGAACCAGCCAAAGUAGCGUGCAGGACGACGGCCCUACGGGUUGUAAACUGCUUUUGCGGGAGGAUAAAGGACGUUACGUGUAACGUUUUGCAGGUAUCCCGUGAAUAAGGACCGGCUAAUUCCGUGCCAGCCGCAGC
rnacentral:rRNA from 1 species